rnacentral:rRNA from 1 species
AGCUCCAAUAGCGUAUAUUAAAGUUGUUGCAGUUAAAAAGCUCGUAGUUGGAUUUCUGGGAGGGUGCCGAUGUCCACUUAACGUGUGCGCAGCGGCGCCCUCUCAUCCUUCUGUUAGCGUCUCUUGGCAUUCAUUUGCUGGUGGCGGGCUCAGAUAUUUUACCUUGAGAAAAUUAGAGUGUUUCAGGCAGGCUAGGCCGGAAUACAUUAGCAUGGAAUAAUGGAAUAGGACUACGGUCUCUUUGUUGGUUUGAGGGACUGCAGUAAUGAUUAAUAGGGAUAGUUGGGGGCAUUAGUACUUAACUGUCAGAGGUGGAAUUCUCAGAUUUGUUAAAGACUGACUUAUGCGAAAGCAUUUGCCAAGGAUGUUUUCA